GGAAUGGCUCUCAGUGGCAGAUCAUCUGUUUUGCAUGCAGAAGGUCCCAGGUUCAAAUCCUGGCAACUAAGCAGAACUA